GAUGAAGAACGUAGCGAAAUGCGAUAAGUAGCGUGAAUUGCAGAAUUCAGUGAAUCAUCGAAUCUUUGAACGCACAUUGCUCCCUUUGGUAUUCCUUAGGGCAUGCCUGUUCGAGCGUCAUUUAAACCUUCAAGCUAAGCUUGGUGUUGGGUGACUGUCCGCUUCACUGCGGACUCGCCUCAAAAUUAUUGGCGGCCGGUACAUUGGCUUCGAGCGCAGCAGAAACGCGAACUCGGGCCCGUCGUAUUGGCUCCCAGAAGCUAUCUUCACAAUUUUGACCUCGGAUCAGGUAGGGAUACCCGCUGAACUUAAGCAUAUCAAUAAGCGGAGGA
rnacentral:misc_RNA from 1 species